GUGUGUGUGUGUGUAAGCAGACUGAAAACUAUUUGAAUCUUUUGGAUGUUUACCACCAUAUUUACACCGGACACCUGUGACAAAACUAA